UAAUAUAAUAAAUUUUUAAAAUUAGAUAUUGCAUAUCAUUAAAAUAAAAUUUUAUUAAUAUAAAAAAUAAAAAUAAAAAGUUGAAAUUUUUUAUGUUUUAUUGUUUCACAAUAAAAAUUAAAAAAUUUAGGGUUGAAAAGUCGUUUUUUAUAAUAUUUGUUUUGUUAAAUUUAUUAGAAAAUUAUAAUAUAAAAUAAAAUGUUAAUUAAAAUUAUAAGUUAAAGUAUUAAAAUUUUAAGUUUUAUAACUUUUUAAUAAAUAUAGAUGUUAGUAAUUGUAAAGUUUUACUGAUUAAUGUAAAAUAAAAAAUUUUUAAAUUAGUAAGUUAGUUAAAAAUGUAUAAAUAAUAAAAAUUUAAUAAAAAAACUUUUAAUUUAAUCAAAUGUUUUUUAAAGACUUAGAUUUUUAAAUAAAGUUGGCUUCUGCCCUAUGAAAAUUUAAAUGGCAGUCUUAGCGUGAGGACAUUAAGGUAGCAAAAUAAUUAGUGCUUUUAAUGGGUUCCAGUAUGAAUGAAGUUAUUGGUUAAUGGUGUUUAUAUUUUUAUUGUGAAAUUUUAUUUGUAUAAAAAGUUUAUAAAUGUAAUUUUACAAAGAUAAGUCUUCGGAAAUUAUUUUAUAAAAAGUUAAUUAAUUUUUUAUAUUUUUUUUAGGGUAAAAUAUUAUAUAAUGAUUUUUAUCUAAUAUUAAUUUUAAAAAUUACUCCGGAGUUAACAGAAAAUCAUAUUUGAUCCAGAAGUUAUGGUAAAAUAAGUUUUACAUCGAUGUUGUAUUUAAAUUAAUUAAAAAAGGAGAAAUUUUAAUUAUUAAGACUGUUCUUCUUUUACUUAAUUUAACGUGAUAUUAGUUUAAUUCAUUGUGAAAUAGAAUUGUUUAUCUUGUAAAUUAUUUAAUAAAAAAAUUUUUAGUACGAAAGGAAAAAAAUAAAAACUUUAAGUUUUAACAUGAUAA
rnacentral:rRNA from 1 species